GCUGCCGUAGCUCAAGGGAUCAGAGCAGCCGUCUCGUAAGCGGCAGGUUGUGGGUUCAAUUCCCACCGGCAGCCCCA
rnacentral:tRNA from 2 species